UCUAUGGAGAGUUUGAUCCUGGCUCAGGACGAACGCUGGCGGCGUGCCUAAUACAUGCAAGUCGAGCGGACGAAUCAAAAGCUUGCUUUUGAUUCGUUAGCGGCGGACGGGUGAGUAACACGUGGGCAACCUGCCCUGUAGACGGGGAUAACACCGAGAAAUCGGUGCUAAUACCGGAUAACACGGAAUGUCGCAUGACGUUUCGUUGAAAGGCGGCGCAAGCUGUCGCUACAGGAUGGGCCCGCGGCGCAUUAGCUAGUUGGUGAGGUAACGGCUC
rnacentral:rRNA from 1 species